AAUAGGCCUAUCUCACAACUUCCUGGUUCGGCGUUCGAUUUUGCCUUCACCGGGUAAAGUGACUUCCGGUCGCGUAGUCCAUGAUAUUUGACAAUGGCGCAGUCAAAAAAUAAAAGCUUCUGUUGUCUACCUCAAUGCGCCAAUUCAAAACAAAAACAACCGUAUUUAUAUUUCCACGACUUCCCAAAUAAUACCCAAUACAGCAGUGGCGAUCAGACGGAAUGAAGGAGUUAAGUAAUUCAGAAGGGGAGUACACUGGUCUGUAGUCGGCAUUUCUCAGCGGCUGAUUAUGACGACGGGAGUGCUACGCUGAAUACUGGAGCUGUUCCUAGUCGUUUUGACUGGAACAGCUACACCACAGCCCCGAAAAAAACACCCGUGUAUAAACGGGUGUCAGCUCGAAAAGCUGAAGGAGAGGACAAAACACAAACGGACCGGAGAGGUACCGGGGAACAUGACUACGCGACACGCCCCCCUGCCGGUGCUUGUGUGGGAAAUGCCAGCCAAUGAGCUCAGCUGAGGAGAGCAUGUGUUGCAGGGAGGUGGAUCCCUUCUGGGCUCUAGUGGAGACGCUAAACCCCAGACCAGACGUAACAUGCCUGACUCUGCAUCCAGGCUUUGAGGGAUGCUGUCUGAACCCCUUUGUGCUCCAGGUAGCAUACUUGGCCUUCAAACAGGAGCAUGGCCCUCUGCAGGCCAGCACACACGAGCAGUAUCGUUACACCGCAUACAGGCAGGUUGUCCGCUGGGCCUAUGGAAUUCUUGGCAGGCACAUCAGGAAGCCCUUACCUGCAUGCAUUGUGUCUGCCAUCAGACGGCAGUUUCCAGAGGAACAUGGGGUUUAUAAAGGUUUUGGGUGGCCUCAUUUAAAUGACAGUCAAUAAAAAUAAUGUCUUAUUUUAUAGAAACUUUUAAUGACUCUUUUCUUUUAAUAUUUAGUUCUUGCAGUUUAAAAACAAAAGGAACAUACUGCAAUACAAAUUUAAACGUAAAAUUAACCACAGCAACAAAACUAAG